rnacentral:lncRNA from 10 species
CAGGUGUACAGUGGAGUUUUCUGGAGGCUACAUGACAUGUGAUAAGAAAACAGACUGAAAAAGGGAAUACAUCUAUAAAGAGAAAAUUGCUAUCACUGUUUUUGGUUGGGAAAAACAUUUGUAUGAGAUAAACAUGUUAUUCUUUUCAUAAUCAGACAUUCUUCUCACAAGUGUUGGUUCUCUACCAUUCCUCAAAGGUGAUAAUUUUUUGAAAUAUGUUAUUGUGGAUUCAUGAUUUUGGAUAUAUCCAAUGGGUUUAAGUGCAUUGCAAUAAAAUGGUAUUUUGAUACUCAUCAUUAGCCAGUACAAGCCUCUUCAAACUGGAUCACAACGUUUUUUGACACACCCUAGUAAUGAUGUAUUUUGCAUGUGAGAAAUAAGAUGCAUUUUGAGCGACCAGAGGGUAGAGUAUUUUGGGCUGAAAUGUGUCCUUCCCCAGAUUAUAACUCCAAGUACCUCCAACUGUGCCUGCAUUUGCAGAGAGGUAAUUAAGGUAAAAUGAGGUCAUAUGGGUGAACUCUAAUCCAAUAUGACUAGUGUCCUUACAAGAGAGUCAGACAUAGACACAGAGCGAAGAUCAGGUGAAGAUAGUGAUAAGGCUGCCAUCACUAAAAGCCAAGUAGAAAGGCCUUGGAAUAAAUCAAACUUGUCAAUACUUUGAUCUUGGACUUGGGGCUCUGAAAUUGUGAGAAAAUGAAUUUUCUUUUGGUUAAACCACUCAGUGUGGUAUUUUCUUAUGGCCUCCAUAGCAGCCUAAUACACUUAGUUCUAUAAAACUUUUUGAGAAGUUUUAGAUACGAUGUCUUUAAAUUUUGGUUCCAUA